rnacentral:tRNA from 1 species
GCCCGAGUGGCGGAAUUGGCAGACGCAGUGGACUCAAAAUCCACCGAUGGCGACAUCGUGCGAGUUCGAGUCUCGCCUCGGGCACCC